rnacentral:lncRNA from 1 species
AAGAUUCACUCUUUUGUUUACUGAAACUACAAAAUAGUGAUAAAUAAGAGCUGUCACAAUAGCUUACAAAGCACAAGAAGCAAAACUCUCUGGCAUGUUUGGAAGAGGGUAGUUGCUCCAAAAAAAAUUUAAGAACUUUGAGGGGACAGGGGGCUACAAUGGACAGUAGACAGCCUUAGUGUCAUAUCUCCAACAGAUUGUGGAUGCGGAAAAUGUGCUUUAAUAUGCUUAAGGACUGGUUUGCAGUUUUUGCUGGUGGAAUCUGAUUAGUUUUAUGAUGAAAAUAAAUAUACUACUCCCUUUGGUCACCAGGAAAAUAAAUAUUCAGUUGCUACUCUUUAUUCCUCGGUUUAUUCGCGCGCUUCUCUCUUGUUGCUGCAGGGAACAGCUUUAGAGCCUCACCUAUUGAUAUAUCCUUUUGAUUGCGAUCAUUUUCCUAGGAAUUGUUUUUCCUGGAAUAUUAUUAAGAUUCCCACUAAUCUUUGAUAUCCUCGAAACCAAACGUGUUGUGACAGGUGUUUCUCGAUGUUAUUGAAUGAAUUGAUCUUGCAUGGACAAGCAGUCCUGAAGCUCAAUGCUUGAUGGAUCAGAUCGCUUAUGGAAUCUUGCUUGCUUGAUCGAUCACAAGGUGUCUUCGUCCUUGGUGUCACUUUGCUCGUGGAUCAGAGGUGUCGCUUCGGGGUGCACCAAACGGCUGGGACCAUUCACGGCACGGAUGUUAUAGUAAGCCCAGGAUUAGUGUUUCUUUCUUAGCAAGUAGAUUAGCACACAAUCACCUUCCAGGUAUUGUGAUUUACUUACCAUAUACAACUGCGUGUAAUUUCUUUAUAUAGAGAUAGAGAACAAACAGAAAACGU